CGAUUACUGCUCAGUAACACGUAGCUAACCUAACCUCAAGACGGAAACAACCCCGGGAAACUGGGGCCAAUUUCCGAUAGAUGUGAAAUCCUGGAAUGGUAUCACAUUCAAACGUCACCACACCAUGUUUGCGAACGCUUGAGGAUGGGGCUGCGGCCGAUCAGGCUGUUGGUGAGGUAAUGGCUCACCAAACCUUUGACCGGUACGGGCCAUGAGAGUGGUAGCCCGGAGAUGGACACUGAGACAAGGGUCCAGGCCCUAAGGGGCGCAGCAACCGCGAAACCUCCACAAUGCACUCACGUGCGAUGGGGCUAUCUCGAGUGCCACCUGAUGAAGGUGGCUUUUCCUUGGUCUUCAAAGCCUUGGGAAUAAGAGGGGGGCAAGACUGGUGUCAGCCGCCGCGGUAACACCAGCCCCUCGAGUGGUGGGGAUGAUUAUUUGGCCUAAAGCGUCCGUAGCCGGCCGAGCAAGUCUUCCGUUAAAUCCAGCGUCUCAAGCGUUGGACCGCGGGAGAUACUACACGGCUAGAGAGUGGGAGAGGUCAGCGGUAUUCUGGGGGUAGGGGCGAAAUCCUUUGAUCCCCGGAGGACCACCAGUGGCGAAGGCUG
rnacentral:rRNA from 1 species